AUCGCUUCUCGGCUUUUUGGCUAAGAUCAAGUGUAGUAUCUGUUUUUAUCAGAGAAUGCCAAUGUGAGGUGAGCUAUACCAGAUGUGGCCGCAGCACCCAUA
ensembl:snRNA U2 U2 spliceosomal RNA